rnacentral:lncRNA from 1 species
CUUGUCCCAAAGUAAAGUGGCUUCUCCGACCAAACGAGUGGAGACUUCUGACACCCAUCAGAAAUUGGCUACUGAGGCCUUGGAGAGGUCAAAUAAAAAAAAUGCUGCACUAAAAUAGCAAGUGGGAGAGUUCAACUCCAAAAUAUCCGAUCCGACGGAAGUGCCAGAUGGCAAGGAAGGAAGCUCAAUUUGUUGCUAAUGAUGUUGUGAAGCAGCACAUUGCCAAUUUCCACUUAACGGGGGCGUGGCAAAGCUGUGCUAAAUACUAGCGGAGGUAUGCCAAUCGAGAACCAUUAAACCAGAAUCAAGCUCCUACCCUUCUCAUACAAAAACAUCAAGAUAGUCUCAAAUCUAGAUAACUCACUAAUUGGGUUAAUUUUCUUCUCUGCUAUGUUAUUAACUUCA